CCUCUUGGCCUCUGAUAAGAGGUCCCGCCUGCCCUGUGACGAAAGUUUAACGGCCGCGGUAUUUUGACCGUGCGAAGGUAGCGUAAUCACUUGUCUUUUAAAUGAAGACCUGUAUGAAUGGCACAACGAGGGCUAAGCUGUCUCCUUUCCCCAGUCAAUGAAACUGAUCUUCCCGUGCAGAAGCGGGAAUACCAACAUAAGACGAGAAGACCCUAUGGAGCUUUAGACUCCGCAGCAGACCACGUUAAAACCCCUCAGCCACUAGAAAGAAACAAAGUGGCCCCUGCUACGAGUCUUUGGUUGGGGCGACCGCGGAGAAACAACAAACCCCCGCGUAGCACGGGCCACACCCCUGAAGCCAGAGCCACACCUCCAACGAACAGAAUGUCUGACUUUCAAGAUCCGGCAUUGCCGAUUAACGGACCAAGUUACCCUAGGGAUAACAGCGCAAUCCUCUUCUAGAGCUCAUAUCGCCAAGAGGGUUUACGACCUCGAUGUUGGAUCAGGACCACCUA
rnacentral:rRNA from 1 species